AUAAUUAAAAAUAUUAUAAACAAAAAACCAUUAAUGAAUACUAGAACAUUAACACAAAUGUUACUUGAUCUACAUAAAUUAUCAGCUUUAGAUUUAAACGUAUUAACAUUUUUUACUCAACAUUAUAUUAUAAAUUCAUUUUAUAAUUUUACAUUGUUUGACAUAACUAUGAUUUUAUACAUAUUCAACAAGUAUAAUUAUAACGAUGCAACAGUUGUUUCUCAAAUAUGUAAAACUAUUCAAGAGUGUUUUUUACCCUUUAUUAACGAGGUAACACAUUACUCCAUAUUUUUUAUUAAUUCUGUGUGUACAUACCUGUAUACAUUUUUGUACUUAAGUUUAUUUUUUUAUGUUUAUUCAUUUAUGUUUAUUCAUUUAUGUUUAUUCAUUUAUAUUUAUUCAUUUAUAUUUAUUCAUUUAUGUUUAUUUUUUUAUUUUUAUUUUUUUAUUUUUUUACUUUGUCAGGACAAGGGAGUACUAACUACCAUAUUACUAAGUUUGACCAUGCUAAGCCUAAAUUAUGAUUUUUAUUUAAACUUAUUAGAAAAAUAUGUAUAUAAUAAAUAUGAACAAUUUGAAAUUAAAUAUCUGUGUAACAUUGCUUACUCCAUUGCUUUAUGGCUAGCCAAUCAACCAGUACAACAUAAACACAUAACUAUAACUACUGACAAAAACAUAAACGAUGAUAAACUACAACAUAAUAGUAAAGAAUUGUUAAUUACCAUGUUAAACGAUAUCGUAUCUUUGCUAUUAAAAAAUAUGCAUAAACUCAAAAACGAGGAGUUAAAACAGGUACACAUAGCGUUGUAUUAUUUAAAUGUUAUCGGAAUGAGAUACGAAAAUAAUAUUAAAACAAUAGAAAAAAAAAAUAUUAAAAAUAAUAUAACUACAUCAAGAAUGCAAGACCAAAUAGAAAAAAUAUUUAAAGAAUUGGGUGUAAAAGUAGAAAAAGAAAUACCUGUUGGACCAUAUAUGCUGGAUUUUGCUUUAAAGAAAAGAAAAAUUUGUAUAGAAAUUAAUGGAUUUACCCAUUACUACACAUCUAAUGGGAAAAUAAAUGCUAAAACCAACUUGAAGUAUUUUAUUCUUAACAAACUUAAUUGGAAAGUUGUUACUAUCGAGUACAUGGAUUGGAAGAACAAAAAAAAAGAAGAAAAAAUAAAAUAUAUAGAAACAAAUGUACUGGACAAAAUAAAAUGAUAAAAAUUAGUUAAGUUUUUCACAUUUAUGAUUUGAUUUAUAAACAGCGAAUCGUUAUGUAAUAAAAAAGUACAAGCACGUGUAAACA
rnacentral:lncRNA from 1 species